CGUCUAUAUACGUAUAGCAUAUCAAUAAGCGGAGGAAAAGAAACUAACAAGGAUUCCCUUAGUAACGGCGAGUGAAGCGGGAAGAGCUCAAAUUUGAAAUCUUCAAGGUUCUACCUUGACGAAUUGUAGUUUAAAGAAGUGUUUUCUGUUAGAGGAGUAGCAAAAGUUCCUUGGAAUGGGACAUCAUAGAGGGUGAGAAUCCCGUAUUUGGUUAUUCUUUCUAGCUUUGUGAUACACUUUCAAAGAGUCGGAUUGUUUGGGAAUGCAGUCCAAAAUGGGUGGUAAAUUUCAUCUAAAGCUAAAUAUUGGCGAGAGACCGAUAGCGAACAAGUACCGUGAGGGAAAGAUGAAAAGAACUUUGAAAAGAGAGUUAAACAGUACGUGAAAUUGUCAAAAGGGAAGCGUUUGACACCAGUGUUGUUUUUCCGAAAAUCAAUUAAGAGUGGCUUGAUUUUGUGUUGUAUUGACCUUAUCAGCUUUCUUCACUCUUUUUCGAGUCUUUCUUAAUGCACUUUUCGGUUAACAAGUCAACAUCAAUUUCUUUUGUUGUAAAGGGUAUUUGGAAGGUGGCUUUCUUUUCGGAGAAAGUGUUUAUAGCCUUAUACCUCUACAAUCGGAGAGAUUGAGGUCUGCAGCGUAGAUCCUUCGGGGCUAGAUACACUUGUGCUAAGUUAUAGCUUUUCAUAGACAACUUGUUGACUAUGUCUAGUCAUGUAGCUUACCCGCUUGUGCUAUUUUACCUACGCUUAGGAUGUUGAGUAUCACACAUCUCU
rnacentral:rRNA from 1 species